AUUAAGAUGGCAGAGCCCGGUAAUUGCAAAAGGCCUAAGCCCUUUCAACCAGGGGUUCAAAUCCCCUUCUUAAUU
rnacentral:tRNA from 1 species